rnacentral:rRNA from 1 species
UACAGAGGUAUCAAGCGUUGUUCGGAUUUAUUGGGCGUAAAGGGUGCGCAGGCUGUAUGGUAAGUUUGGUGUGAAAUCCUGGGGCUUAACCCCAGAAUUGCACUGAAUACUGCCGUGCUAGAGGACUGGAGAGGAGAUUGGAAUUCACGGUGUAGCAGUGAAAUGCGUAGAUAUCGUGAGGAAGACCAGUGGCGAAGGCGAAUCUCUGGACAGUUCCUGACGCUCAUGCACGAAGGCCAGGGGAGCAAACGGG